UGAGGAAUAUUGCACAAUGGGCGAAAGCCUGAUGCAGCAACGCCGCGUGAGGGACGAAGGCCUUCGGGUCGUAAACCUCUUUUCUGGGGGACGAGACAGGACGGUACCUCAGGAAUAAGUCUCGGCUAACUACGUGCCAGCAGCCGCGGUAAAACGUAGGAGGCGAGCGUUAUCCGGAUUUACUGGGCGUAAAGCGCACGCAGGCGGCUUCGCAAGUCGGAUGUGAAAGCUCCUGGCUUAACUGGGAGAGGCCAUUCGAUACUGCGGGGCUUGAGGUUGGGAGAGGGGUGUGGAAUUCCCGGUGUAGUGGUGGAAUGCGUAGAUAUCGGGAGGAACACCAGUGGCGAAAGCGGCACCCUGGCCCACACCUGACGCUGAGGUGCGAAAGCGUGGGUAGCAAACAGG
rnacentral:rRNA from 1 species